rnacentral:rRNA from 1 species
AGACCCGAAACCCGGUGAUCUAGCCAUGGGCAGGUUGAAGGUUGGGUAACACUAACUGGAGGACCGAACCGACUAAUGUUGAAAAAUUAGCGGAUGACCUGUGGCUGGGGGUGAAAGGCCAAUCAAACCGGGAGAUAGCUGGUUCUCCCCGAAAGCUAUUUAGGUAGCGCCUCGUGAAUUCAUCUCCGGGGGUAGAGCACUGUUUCGGCUAGGGGGCCAUCCCGGCUUACCAACCCGAUGCAAACUGCGAAUACCGGAGAAUGUUAUCACGGGAGACACACGGCGGGUGCUAACGUCCGUCGUGAAGAGGGAAACAACCCAGACCGCCAGCUAAGGUCCCAAAGUCAUGGUUAAGUGGGAAACGAUGUGGGAAGGCCCAGACAGCCAGGAUGUUGGCUUAGAAGCAGCCAUCAUUUAAAGAAAGCGUAAUAGCUCACUGGUCGAGUCGGCCUGCGCGGAAGAUGUAACGGGGCUAAACCAUGCACCGAAGCUGCGGCAGCGAACGUAUCACCCAAGACAACUUUACGGAGUUGACGAUUGACGGAGCGAAGCGACGUCAAAGCGUUCAUUAAAGUCGAGUUGGCUUAGGGAUACGUUCGUUGGGUAGGGGAGCGUUCUGUAAGCCUGUGAAGGUGUGUCGUGAGGCAUGCUGGAGGUAUCAGAAGUGCGAAUGCUGACAUAAGUAACGAUAAAGCGGGUGAAAAGCCCGCUCGCCGGAAGACCAAGGGUUCCUGUCCAACGUUAAUCGGGGCAGGGUGAGUCGACCCCUAAGGCGAGGCCGAAAGGCGUAGUCGAUGGGAAACGGGUUAAUAUUCCCGUACUUGGUGUUACUGCGAAGGGGGGACGGAGAAGGCUAUGUUGGCCGGGCGACGGUUGUCCCGGUUUAAGGGUGUAGGUGUGUGUUCCAGGUAAAUCCGGUUCACUUUAACACUGAGGCGUGACGACGAGGCACUACGGUGCUGAAGCAACAAAUGCCCUGCUUCCAGGAAAAGCCUCUAAGCAUCAGGUAACACGAAAUCGUACCCCAAACCGACACAGGUGGUCAGGUAGAGAAUACCAAGGCGCUUGAGAGAACUCGGGUGAAGGAACUAGGCAAAAUGGUGCCGUAACUUCGGGAGAAGGCACGCUGACACGUAGGUGAAGUGAUUUACUCAUGGAGCUGAAGUCAGUCGAAGAUACCAGCUGGCUGCAACUGUUUAUUAAAAACACAGCACUGUGCAAACACGAGAGUGGACGUAUACGGUGUGACGCCUGCCCGGUGCCGGAAGGUUAAUUGAUGGGGUCAGCGUAAGCGAAGCUCCUGAUCGAAGCCCCGGUAAA